rnacentral:rRNA from 1 species
CCUACGGGCGGCAGCAGUGGGGAAUAUUGCACAAUGGGGGAAACCCUGAUGCAGCGACGCCGCGUGCGUGAUGAAGUCUUUCGGUAUGUAAAGCUCUAUCAGCAGGGAAGAAAAUGACGGUACCUGAUUAAGAAGCCCCGGCUAACUCCGUGCCAGCAGCCGCGGUAAUACGUAGGGGGCAAGCGUUAACCGGAUUUACUGGGUGUAAAGAGAGCGUAGGCGGCAGCGCAAGUCUGAAGUGAAAUGCCGGGGCUUAACCGCGGAACUGCAUUGGAAACUGUGCAGCUAGAGUGCAGGAGAGGUAAGUGGAAUUCCUGGUGUAGCGGUGAAAUGCGUAGAUAUUAGGAGGAACACCAGUGGCGAAGGCGGGUUACUGGACUGUAACUGACGUUGAGGCUCGAAAGCGUGGGGAGCAAACAGGAUUAGAUACCCCUGUAGUC